AACGCGCUUGAUCCUCCACAUUUGCUCUCUACUGGAGCCAUGAAUUCGAGAUAACUUUUUGGGCCUAAAUGAGAAAAAGGGUAAGCUGGGGUGGAAUUGAUUUCCAGUAUGAAGAACAAUGGAAUUUUCCAUUACAGAAAGAUGAAGUUCACAGGGAUAACAGGAACCCAAGAUUUCAAGAACCAGAGUGACCUAGUGGAA
rnacentral:misc_RNA from 1 species